AUUGAACGCUGGCGGCAGGCUUAACACAUGCAAGUCGAGCGGGGUGAUGGUGCUUGCACUAUCACUUAGCGGCGGACGGGUGAGUAAUGCUUAGGAAUCUGCCUAUUAGUGGGGGACAACAUCUCGAAAGGGAUGCUAAUACCGCAUACGUCCUACGGGAGAAAGCAGGGGAUCUUCGGACCUUGCGCUAAUAGAUGAGCCUAAGUCGGAUUAGCUAGUUGGUGGGGUAAAGGCCUACCAAGGCGACGAUCUGUAGCGGGUCUGAGAGGAUGAUCGGCCACACUGGGACUGAGACACGGCCCAGACUGCUACGGGAGGCAGCAGUGGGGAAUAUUGGACAAUGGGGGGAACCCUGAUCCAGCCAUGCCGCGUGUGUGAAGAAGGCCUUAUGGUUGUAAAGCACUUUAAGCGAGGAGGAGGCUCUUUUGGUUAAUACCCAAGAUGAGUGGACGUUACUCGCAGAAUAAGCACCGGCUAACUCUGUGCCAGCAGCCGCCGUAA
rnacentral:rRNA from 1 species